GCUUGUCUCAAAGAUUAAGCCAUGCAUGUCUAAGUAUAAACUAAUUUAUACGGUGAAACUGCGAAUGGCUCAUUAAAUCAGUUAUAGUUUAUUUGAUGGUUGAUUACUACGUGGAUAACCGUGGUAAUUCUAGAGCUAAUACAUGCCUACAAGCCCGACUUCUGGAAGGGUGGUAUUUAUUAGACUUAAGCCAAUAUUCCUUGUGUCUAUUGCGAUGAUUCAUAAUAACUGAUCGAAUCUCAAAUUUGAGAUAAAUCAUUCAAGUUUCUGCCCUAUCAGCUUUCGAUGGUAGUGUAUUGGACUACCAUGGCAGUAACGGGUAACGAAGAAUUAGGGUUCGAUUUCGGAGAGGGAGCAUGAGAAACGGCUACCACAUCUAAGGAAGGCAGCAGG
rnacentral:rRNA from 1 species